rnacentral:rRNA from 1 species
UACAGAGGGGGCAAGCGUUGUUCGGAAUUACUGGGCGUAAAGGGCGCGUAGGCGGCCUUCUAAGUCGAACGUGAAAUCCCCGGGCUCAACCCGGGAACUGCGUCCGAUACUGGAAGGCUUGAAUCCGGGAGAGGGAUGUGGAAUUCCAGGUGUAGCGGUGAAAUGCGUAGAUAUCUGGAGGAACACCGGUGGCGAAGGCGGCAUCCUGGACCGACACUGACACUGAGGAGCGAAAGCGUGGGGAGCGAACAGG